AACUCAAGGGAAGUUGACGGGGAGCACUACAACGGGUGGAGCCUGCGGUUUAAUUGGAUCAACGCCGGAAAUCUCACCGGGGCGACAGCAAUAUGAAGGUCAGGCUGAAGACCUUACCCGAUUAGCUGAGAGGUGGUGCAUGGCCGUCGUCAGUUCGUACUGUGAAGCAUCCUGUUAAGUCAGGCAACGAGCGAGACCCACGUCCACAGUUGCCAGCAUACCCUCCGGGGUGAUGGGUACACUGUGGAGACCGCCGCUGCUAAAGCGGAGGAAGGAGUGGGCAACGGUAGGUCAGUAUGCCCCGAAUCUCCCGGGCUACACGCGGGCUACAAUGGUUGGUACAGUGGGCAUCUACCCCGAAAGGGGAAGGAAAUCUCUUAAAGCCAAUCGUAGUUCGGAUUGAGGGCUGCAACUCGCCCUCAUAAAGCUGGAAUCCGUAGUAAUCGCGUUUCAACAGAACGCGGUGAAUACGUCCCUGCUCCUU
rnacentral:rRNA from 1 species